CCCUCGCCGAUGAACCCCGAUUUCCAGAUUUACGUUGCGUCGAUAUCGUGCGUCCCGUUGCGGUUUCGUGUUGGUUUGCUGAUCGUUUGAAGCUGUCCCGUCGCAGUAGUAACCUUCCUCGGUCCACGUGUCCUUUGGGCAGUUGUGGCAUGCGGGUGUGGCAAAAAACUCGACUGGAUCUUGCGGAGACGUUGACGCGGCUUUUGCGGGGCAUGUCAUAACCCCUCCUUGGUGGCAUGCUUACGACAAGCACACGGCCCGAUUUCCAGUUUACGUUGCAUUGAUAUCGUGUGUCCCGUUCCGGUUUCGUGUUUGUUUGCCGAUCGUUUGAAGCUGUCCCGUCGCAGUAGUAACCUUGCUCGGUCCACGUGUCCUCGGGCAGUUGUGGCAUGUGGGGGUGAAAAAAACUCGGCUGGAUCUUGCGGAGACGUUGACGCGGCUUGUGCGGAAUUCGCUUUCGUGUCGUGCGAUGUCGGUGUUAGCGUGUUUCUCGUACCGUUCGGUGCAUUUCGGGAGCUUCUUCGUGCUUGUAGUUGUUUGCUUGGCUUUUGUGCUGGGUUUGUGGCUACUUGUGCGGGUCGUUUCAGGGAAUGAAUAUCGUAAAGGUGCAUGAGUGGUGUUUGGUGUGUUGCUGGUGGUUGGCUGACUGCGUUUGCAGCAACGUCCACUGGGGCAUACCUCUUCAUUGACGGCAAACGGUUGAUUCUCAACCGGGAGCAUUUGUCGGGUUUUCCUGUGUUGUGUACCUACUUUAGGGCAUGUUGUUGGUUGGUUAAUGAGGAUUUUCAUUCCACGUUGCGCUUGUGGCGUGGGAUGAACUAGAACUGGCCCCUUUAUGAUCUAUGUCUUUGACGCAUUGUGUCUUUGGCAUGGCCCAUUAUGUGUGGCUUGGUUUCUUGGAUACGGAACCUUACGUGGGCAUGGGGUUGUUUAUGACCUUGAUUUUGCCCUCGCCAAGCGUUCUUGCCCCUAAAAAACAACAUGCGGUCGUGCAUCGACUUGUUUG
rnacentral:misc_RNA from 1 species